UAGUGAAUUACUACACCUUGGUUC
rnacentral:piRNA from 1 species